CGGUCGGCGGAACUGUGACGAGACAAAUCUGCAGUUGAUCUGCCGGAGGCUCCUUUCUUUCAGAUAUUUCUCCCCCAGCUCGAUAGGCGCUAGGUUUUUGAGAUGUCGUUUUGGCCUCUUUUGGCUAUCAUUCUUGGCAGCAAGUCUUUUCUCUUGUGCGUGGACUAUCACCGGUUUUGCUGCCUAUUUUGGUGUUCUGCCAUGGGGUUGUUAAGUUCUCUUUUCUGGACUUGGUCGACGGGGGGGAUUGCUAGGCUGAUUGGGUUGCUUUGGUUCGUCCUUUGCUUUUUUUCAUUUCAGUUUGUUAAUUUUGUUCCUCAAGUGUUUGUGAUCACAGAGAUUCCAAAAUCAUAUAAGAGGGCGAGAUGGGGGCGAAGCUCUCCAGCAAUGGAAGUUUUAUCCGUAGGAAUUCAAUAACCCAUGGCCAUGGAUCUUCUGCUUGCAUUUUAGUUUUUCUUUUUCUUUUCUCGAUUUCUUGAAACACCGCAUACUGUGUAUUCUUUGUUGGUGGAAUUCCAAUUUUUUUUUUGAAACAAUCGAUUUGUUGAAGCU